CAGAACAGAACCGGACCCCGGUACUGUUAGCAGCAUCAAGAACAACAGAACUGGACUGGACCCCGGUACUGUUAGCAGUAUCAAGAACAACAGAACUGGACUGGACCCCGGUACUGUUAGCAGUUAGCUUGUAACUGGUUCGGUUUCAAGUCUUUAACUUUAAAUGUUAGCAUUAACUUUGUUAGCUUAGCUUAGCUCUGGGUGUGAGCUAGUUAACAACUGGGCGCCUUUGCCUCGCUAUGUUUCUGUAAAGUACCGACACGGUACCGAAUUGUUCACCGCCCAUCCGGUUCCUUUGCGCGGUACCGAAGAGCAGCGUUACCGUGCCGUUAUUAGCCGGUAAUGUGCCGUUAUUAGCCGGUAAUGUGCCGUUAUUAGCCCGUAACGGUGAACCGGAGUUCCUGGAGAGUUUGCUGCGGGCUAACAGGAAGCGGCUAACGCUGGAGCUAAAGUGAAGUACAGGGAGCGGGUUCCUGUAGCAGAGAGGUAGCAGAGAGGUAGCAGCCUCACCUGAGCUCAGAGAGAGGGAGUCACCUGUCCUUACCUCUCAGCAGUCUGUAGAAACACGACCAGGCUCCUCCGACUCUGUCAGAAACACACCCUGCUGAUAACGGACCGCUGCUUCCUCCAACAACAACAACAAGCAGCCAGCUGCGGCUUUCAGGACUUUACAGGUGCUGCCGCCCCCUGCUGGCCCGGAGGGGGAAGGACCAAAGCCUCUGUUCUUCACCCAGCAGCUCUCUCUCCGCUUCAGUAUCCCAGGUACCCAGCACCAUCUGAAGCUUCUGGGAUCUGAAGACCAUUUCCAGCAUUAAAUCUUCUCUAUUCUUUCCAAAACUGUAAAUUCAAUUCAGUUUUAUUUAUACGGCACCAAACAAACGCCACUCAGAUCAUUUCUCAGUUUAUGGAGCAGAGGCUCGAUGACCAGAGAACAGAGGGCAGCCCGGUGUGACCCCCUCUGACCAGUGAAAGGAGCUCUCAGACCCCCAUUCAUUUUUAGAACACCUGCAGUGUGACUAUACAGAACCUGGAUCUGGGCUAUAAAGCCUGGGCUGAACCCAAAGGCAGCUAGAGUUCACCACAGAUCCAGGAGUUCAACCCGGGUCUGCAGCCAACGAGCUAGAGACCUCCAAAACAUCACACAUUAAAGUGACACUGCCGGCCACACAGUAUGUCUGAUCAGCGUGGAUAACAGCAGCCGUCACCUCUGGAAGCCUGGGGGCCAGGACCCGGGACAGUACGUUAUAGUCUGUGCAGAGCAGGGAAACUGGUCUCCAGGUCUUCAGCUCCUGCAGGUCUCCCUUCUUGGUGAGCAAAGUGAUGAGCGCCCUCCCGCGGCUCAGAGGCAGCCGACCUCUCCUCCAACAAGUCUUCACUCAACACCGACCAGCAGGACCGACCGUCCGGGCCAGGAGCCCUGCCACCCUGAGAACCCAUCAGCGUAAAAUUCAUCAAGGGAAACACGAGCCUCCAACUUCACCCUGGCCUCAGCGUGCACCUGAGGAAGAGCAGUGAAGAAGCUGCUGCACACACCUGUCAGCUAAUUUCCGUGAGGAAGCAACAUGAGGUUCUUGAUGAUUCCUGUCAAGCUUUGGAUUUUCAGUACAUUUAAAAACACCUCCUAAAAACAAAUCCUCAUCACUGUUACCGUCACACAGGACAUUAAGCGCCGCUAACCCGUCUGCUGCGCCUCAACAAAAACAAGGUUUUCAGCAAUAAACAGCCCUCAAUCAUUUUCUCCUUGACUUUGUAGGAAGAAGGUAAGAAAGUCCUGGAAACACACUCCCACCGCUCCUCUACAGCUGGACCCCCCAGACACUUUCAUUAUCUACUCUGUGUUUCCAUCUGUGUUCUUCAGCUCCAGCAGCUUGAAAGAAGCAGUUCUGUUAACUUCGGCCCUCCAUUUAGCUUCAGAGCGCCUCUGUUGGAAUCCCACAUGGAGAAAAGAGGCCUGAGAAGAGAACAAGAGGAAACUGGUUUCAGCAUCAGCAGCUAUUUGUGCUUUGACUCUGAGGAUCGGAUAGACUUCCUGCUCUGUUAGAACAUCAUCUGCAGAGUUUCCUGAUCUUUCUGUCAGAGACUCAGCUGACUCAACAAAUAGCUCAGCAGCCGGAACGCUACAACCUGUGAGGCGAGGGUCAGGUGACCAGCAGAGACCACAGACGGCGUCGGGAGUGAAAACGCUGCCUCACUGAUCCACAUGGACAAAAUAACAGCUGUCAGGACCAGGUUCCAGGUGUUCCUAAUAAACCGGUCAGCUCGCUGUGAAUGUGUCGGUACACUCUGCGUGUGUGAUGUGAUCUGUUACCGUGACUCCUCGCCUCCAGCAACCCAUCACCGUCUCCAUGGCAACAGCAAGUGAUGCCACACGUUAUGGAUAAUUUCGUCUCAUCAGUUCGGGGGGUGGGGGGGUCUGAAUCACAGCUUCCAAGGUUCAGGUUCAACACUGAAACAAACUCACAUCGUCUGCAGCACCAAAAUCUGUUCAAAAGAGCCCACAUUUAAACUCAGUAAGCAAGUUUGAAGGUGGAACUGACCGGAUCAGAACCGGUCGUCACCUCCAGCUGUCUGUAGAUACUGGAUCCAUCUGGUUUUACUGUGACACAGUGAUUCAGAUUCACUGAGCUCAGUGAUGUCUGCAGAUCUGAUCUGAAGUUCUCUCACUCCUCAGUCCGGGUUCUUUCCCAACUAGAAAGAACCUUUAGUUUGUGUACUCUGAGACAGAUCUGGAUCUAAACAGACGAGAACCCGGGCCUGUUCCCUUCAACAAUCUCUGAUUCAGCUUCAGACACUCUGAGAACUCCUCACUGUCUUUUUCUGUCUUGUUUAAUUCACAGAGAAGAACUUGUGGUCCAGGUGAACCUGAUCUGGGCUCUGUGGUUGUUUCCUCAGAGCUGGGAGAACAGAUAAUCCUCAGUAAUCCCACUUAAUCCAACAAUAUGGGGCUGGUGAGAGGAAGUAAUAAGAGGGGGAUCGGGAUCAGAUGAUGGCAGAGCAGCAAAAGCCCUGUUAGUAACACAUUCAGACUUUCCUCUGUAUAAAUGCUGAAAAUGUGAAUGGAGUUUGGAACAGAGAGUAAAUGUGAGCAGAAUACCUGAGAAA